UUUUUUCAGAAUCGUCGUGCUCAUUUACAGCUGAACUAAUUAUAGGUUGCAACACACAGCGAUAAGGAAAAAAGAAAAUGAUGGUGGCUGAACUUUAAAACCGGACUGCGGUGUGUUGAUAAUUUGAAACGAGAUUUUCCAUCUAGAACUGAAUAAUAUUUGUUGGAUUCGUUCGGAAAUAUCGUGCAGCAACAAAUCCGCCCCUGAAAGUGACAUUACAAACACGCCAAAUGAGCGCCCGAAUCAGUGAAAACUAGGUCUUGCUCUAAAUUGAAGUUAAUCGAUCCAUCACAAUGCAACACCAUCCAGGGUCAUGGUAUCUUCCUUGGGGUGUCCCCUUCCAGAAAAUGGUCGCCCUGCCGAUCCCUGCGACUCAUUUGCACAUGCAAACCCCCACCAUGCACGUCCAGGCAAUGCUGGGGGGUUUGCCGACACCUCUGGCCACGCUGAGGACGUUCAUGACGCAGCCGACACAACAACAACAG